UCCUUCUUCUUCUCCUUCUUCUUCUCUCCCUCUGUAGAUUUCGAACAAUCAACAUAUAUUCAGCAGCAUUCUCAUGGGGUCUAUGCUCGGUGACCUGCCGUCAUAUGACCCUCACAACUUCAGCCAACUCCGACCCUCCGAUCCUUCGACUCCUUCUAAGAUGAUUCCUGCAACCUAUCAUCCAACCCACAGUAGGACCCUUCCCCCACCAGAUCAGGUUAUAAAUACAGAGGCCAAAAAUAUACUUAUACGACACAUUUAUCAGCAUACAGAAGAGAAGUCAAGAACAAAGAGACCUGCAGCCGAGCAUCCCGUGCCCGAGCACGGAAGCAAGCAACCAAGAGCAUCUACUACCAACACUUCAAAUUGAGCUUCGGAGGACAUUUUCUUCCAACAAUGUUAAAUCUAUUCAUGUUGUGAAAGACUAGUCCUGUAUAAUGAGAGGGAAUUGCCUGCUCAUUGAAGAAGAAACAGCUCGGCCCGACAUUUACAUGUUGUAUAUAGAUUUUACUCCUAGUAAGAUUGUCCUAAACUCAGCCACAUCAAAUUGUUCCCAAAAUCAUAAAACUCAGUUGAAGAAUUGUAACUAUAUCCAUAUGAGUGUGCUUCCAAACAACACUUCAGAAAUUAGUAUUGAAGGCCUCGUUCUUAUAAAGCAG
rnacentral:misc_RNA from 1 species